rnacentral:tRNA from 1 species
GGAAAUGUAGCUUAAUGAGAGUACUUAUCUAGCAAAUAGGAGAGCCUGAGUUCAAACUUAGUUGUUGCUA